UCUUGGGCCCCCCCUGAUAUACCUUGCACCUACUCGGACAUAUUGAACUAAACUCAAAAUGGAAUCGGGCGAACUCUUUACUUCAAUAUCAGUGUACUCUCAUCAUUUGAAACAAAAUGUAUGUGGAACACGAGCGAAAUAUCGCGAGGGUCGUAAAGAUACCGCCGUGAAAGUUUACACAGUUAAUCAGGAAUCAAUAUAUCUUUUAAUUACCAAUGUUCCUGCAUUAGGAGGUGCUGAAGAAUUACGUGCUCUUUGUGAUCAGUAUGGUAUUAUUGAUGAUUUUAAACCACUUGAUGAUUAUCCAUGUGAAGAGUUUACUGAAGUUUAUUUAGCUAAGUACAAAUCUUUUCCAUCUGCAAGAUUAGCGAAAAAGCAUUUGGAUGAUCACUCAUUUUUAGGUGGAUUACUACAUGUAUGUUACGCUCCAGAGUUUGAAACUGUAUCAGAAACAAGACUGAAAUUGCAAGAACGCCGGAAAUAUAUAGCCUGGAAAACUAAGACAGUAGGAAGGCAAGGGCAAUCAUCAGCAUCUCAGCCUAUGACAAACAGGAAUCAAAAUACCAAAAAAAUUGCUGGAAAACAGACAGGGUCAGGACCAUGUAACAAUAUAGAACCAGUUACGUAUAUUUGGGCUGGAAAAGAAUAUACUGUGUUUCCACAGUGCACUCAGAACAAGGAGAAGAUGCAGGAUAUUGUAGGUCAAAAAUUGGAGAGUCCAUCUGGCUUGUUUGUACCACGCCAGUUGAAAGACAAAUUAACUGGUGAACAAAAUAUUAUUAACAUUAAUAAUACUACAAAUCAGGCAACACAAUCAUUUUCUUUGCCGUAUGUGGAUGAUUCAUCAUAUUUAAAUACUGUGUCUCAUGUAAGAGAAAAGAUUUCAAAUGUUUCUGUCCCUAAUGUGAGGGUCAGCUUGAAAAGGAAGAGAAGACUUUGACAGUGGUAGAUUUCUUAAUCAUAAGAUGAACAAUGCGUCCAAAUUGUUAUUUUAACAAAGAUUUUGUAUAUGUGCUUUGUACAGUUAUGUAAUAUCCAUUUCAUGUUCUUGGUGUGAGCAAGGUUAUUGAAAAUAUUUCAAGCAUUGCCAUGACAGAAUACAAGUAAGGCUUUUUGAAAAAAUCAUGUAA